CUGGCGGAAUGCUUUACACAUGCAAGUCGAACGGUAGAGGGGGCAACCCCUUGAGAGUGGCGAACGGGUGAGUAAUAUAUCGGAACGUGCCCAGUCGUGGGGGAUAACGUAGCGAAAGUUACGCUAAUACCGCAUACGAUCUAAGGAUGAAAGCGGGGGAUCGCAAGACCUCGCGCGACUGGAGCGGCCGAUAUCAGAUUAGGUAGUUGGUAGGGUAAAGGCCUACCAAGCCAACGAUCUGUAGCUGGUCUGAGAGGACGACCAGCCACACUGGAACUGAGACACGGNUCCAGACUCNUACGGGAGGCAGCAGUGGGGAAUUUUGGACAAUGGGCGAAAGCCUGAUCCAGCCAUUCCGCGUGCAGGAUGAAGGCCCUCGGGUUGUAAACUGCUUUUGUACAGAACGAAAAGGUUUCUAUUAAUACUAGGAGCUCAUGACGGUACUGUAAGAAUAAGCACCGGCUAACUACGUGCCAGCAGCCGCGGUAAUACGUAGGGUGCAAGCGUUAAUCGGAAUUACUGGGCGUAAAGCGUGCGCAGGCGGUUAUAUAAGUCAGAUGUGAAAUCCCCGGGCUCAACCUGGGAACUGCAUUUGAGACUGUAUAGCUAGAGUACGGUAGAGGGGGAUGGAAUUCCGCGUGUAGCAGUGAAAUGCGUAGAUAUGCGGAGGAACACCGAUGGCGAAGGCAAUCCCCUGGACCUGUACUGACGCUCAUGCACGAAAGCGUGGGGAGCAAACAGGAUUAGAUACCCUGGUAGUCACGCCCUAAACGAUGUCAACUGGUUGUUGGGUCUUUACUGACUCAGUAA
rnacentral:rRNA from 1 species